rnacentral:tRNA from 1 species
GCGCCUUUAGCUCAGCCAGGUAGAGCAACUGACUCUUAAUCAGUGGGUCGGGGGUUCGAUUCCCUCAAGGCGCA